GAUGAACGCUAGCUACAGGCUUAACACAUGCAAGUCGAGGGGUAACGAGAGGAAAGCUUGCUUUCCUUGUCGACGACCGGCGCACGGGUGAGUAACGCGUAUCCAACCUGCCCCCAACUAGGGAAUAACCUUGCGAAAGUAAGACUAAUACCCUAUAAUUUCCUCAGAUGCCAUCUGACGAGGAAUAAAGAUUUAUCGGUUGUGGAUGGGGAUGCGUCUGAUUAGCUUGUUGGCGGGGUAACGGCCCACCAAGGCAACGAUCAGUAGGGGUUCUGAGAGGAAGGUCCCCCACAUUGGAACUGAGACACGGUCCAAACUCCUACGGGAGGCAGCAGUGAGGAAUAUUGGUCAAUAAGCGGAAGCCUGAACCAGCCAAGUAGCGUGCAGGAUGACGGCCCUAUGGGUUGUAAACUGCUUUUAUACAGGAAUAAAGUUAGCCACGUGUGGUUAUUUGUAGGUACUGUAUGAAUAAGGACCGGCUAAUUCCGUGCCAGCAGCCGCCGUAA
rnacentral:rRNA from 1 species